GACGAACGCUGGCGGCGUGCUUAACACAUGCAAGUCGAACGGAAAGGCCCUGCUUUUGUGCGGUGCUCGAGUGGCGAACGGGUGAGUAACACGUGAGUAACCUGCCCUUGACUUUGGGAUAACUUCAGGAAACUGGGGCUACUACCGGAUAGGAGCUCCUGCUGCAUGGUGGGGGUUGGAAAGUUUCGGCGGUUGGGGAUGGACUCGCGGCUUAUCAGCUUGUUGGUGGGGUAGUGGCUUACCAAGGGUUUGACGGGUAGCCGGCAUGAGAGGGUGACCGGCGACAUGGGGACUGAGAGACGGCCCAGACUCGAACGGGAGACAGCAGUGGGGAGUAUUGCACAAUGGGCGGAAGCCGGAUGCAGCAGCGCCGCGGGCGGGAUGACGGCCUUCGGGGUGUGAACCGCUUUCGCCUAUGACGAAGCGUGAGUGACGGUAAUGGGUAAAGAAGCACCGGCUAACUACGUG
rnacentral:rRNA from 1 species